AGCUUUCUAAAAUCUCUUUAGGGGUGUGCGUAGGCUCCUGUGUCUAUGCCUGCUUUUGACUGCCCAGUUGAAGCCUCUUCCUAUGCCUUUUAAAAUUUCACGCACUAUAAGGAGGAAGAGCUCAGGGCUCCCAAAACUUUUUAUUUAGAGGGAAGAAUGCUAGGGAGAUGGGUAUGCAGAGGGUUGACCAAAUUGGAAGAAAAUAUUUAUUCUGUAGUUUGGUGUUGGAAAAGGGAAUUUUCCAAUCAGCCACACCUCAGUGUUGCGGCAAAAUAAUUCUUGGCUCCCCUGGAAACGCAUGGGCAAGGUAGGGCAGAGCUGCUGCUGCUGAUACUGCCACCACCCUGGGCUUCCUGCUGACUCUGGGCUACUCCCUGGGGACAACAGAUUUGCAUUGACGUCCGGGGCUGUCCAGAGGCCCUCAAGAGCCAGUUGUGAGCUGAGCCCAGUAUGGGAAAGAUCUACCUUCUGGAAGCUACUACUACGUGGUGCUUGGAAAGGUAACUCAGCAGGGCUCUGGGAACCCUUGCAUUUUAGAGUCUGAAAAGAAAAUAACAGCUGUAUGUGUUAUUAGAUGAGCUUG
rnacentral:lncRNA from 1 species